AACGAACGCUGGCGGCAUGCCUAACACAUGCAAGUCGAACGAGACCUUCGGGUCUAGUGGCGCACGGGUGCGUAACGCGUGGGAACCUGCCCUUAGGUUCGGAAUAACUCCCCGAAAGGGGUGCUAAUACCGGAUAAUGUCUUCGGACCAAAGAUUUAUCGCCUUUGGAUGGGCCCGCGUUGGAUUAGCUAGUUGGUAGGGUAAAAGCCUACCAAGGCGACGAUCCAUAGCUGGUCUGUGAGGAUGAUCAGCCACACUGGGACUGAGACACGGCCCAGGCUCUUACGGGAGGCAGAAGUGUGGAAUACUGGAAAAUGGGCGAGAGCCUGAUCAAGCAAUGGCGCGUGAGUGAUGAAGGUAUUAGGGUUGUAAAGCUCUUUUACCCGGGAUGAUAAUGACAGUACCGGGUGAAUAAGCUCCGGCUAACUACGUG
rnacentral:rRNA from 1 species